CCCCCGGAUCCGGGCCGUGCACACCCAAAAUGAAGCCCAUCGUUCACAGGGGAAUGAUAAAACCACUUUAUUGCGACAGUCGCCAAGGCUGCCUUUGGCUGUGCUCGCGCAGCCGGGCUGGGAAAGUGCUGGCUCCAAGUGCAGAGGUUGGAGGUGUACAAAUGAGCACAACCACGUGCAGGUUUGCCAGGUGGCAGCAGGAGGAGCGCAGCAUCCUGGCAGGUUGGCUACAGAGAGCGGCGGGCUGAGCCUGGUGGGAAACAACACGCAGCUGAAAGGACCUUCGCCAUAAAUCUGGAGGUCAAGGCGUGAUGAUGGGGGAAUCAAAAAGCACCACGAGCCGUUUAUGAGCACAAGAGAGGUCAAUCCAGGAGCAAAGCAUUUUGCUCGGAG
rnacentral:lncRNA from 1 species